CUUUUUCCAUACCACUUGAUGAUAAUGAAGUUGUGGUUUGUAUGUGCUCAUAGUGUCCACCACCUCUGGCCAUGUCUAGUUCUGCAGUUUUAUCCAAGGAUAAAGAUUCUUGAUCAGUUUUUUUAUCACUUCUUGUAUCUGUAUUACCAUCCCCUUAAAAGAAAUGAACCCUCCAUGUUUAAAAGAAUUUCUCCUUUUCCAUAAGGUCCACAUGAUUAUGGCUGGUAUAGCUUUACA
rnacentral:lncRNA from 1 species